CCUUUGAUUUUGCUACGAAAUAAAAUUUCUGUCAAAUAUUUUCAUCAGUACCUAGGAUGUGAUACGAAAAUUAGAAAAUGCAGUUUUUUUGUGGAAGCUUACAGAAACUAAACCAGAACUUCGAAUUCAGUAAACUUUCGGACCUCUACAAACCAGAAAAAAGAAUUUCGGACCUCUACAAACCAGAAAAAAGAAUUUCGGACCUCUACAAACCAGAUUAGUACCAUCUAUCCUUUACUGAAAAAAAGUUGAGAAGAAUACUAUAAGCAGGGAGUAACCUACACCUACAUCCUAAUAUUGGUCAAAUAUCUUAUUCAAUUAGGCUUUGUCUUUGCAAAUUAUUCUGAUACAAAUAUUUUAAGGAAAUCAAGAUAGAAGCUCAACAAAAGCAUGCGACACUUGUCUGUUGCAAAAAAUGCAAAUAGCUUUACACUGGAAAUGAACAGAAAAAUAUGACUUGGAAUGUCUAAAAUAUAAUCAACUACUUCCGGAGGGCUCCAUUCAUA